UACGGGGGGGGCAAGCGUUGUUCGGAAUUACUGGGCGUAAAGGGCGCGUAGGCGGCCUACUAAGUCGGACGUGAAAUCCCUCGGCUCAACCGGGGAACUGCGUCCGAUACUGGUGGGCUUGAAUCCGGAAGAGGCGAGUGGAAUUCCUGGUGUAGCGGUGGAAUGCGCAGAUAUCAGGAGGAACACCAAUAGCGAAGGCAGCUCGCUGGGACGGUACUGACGCUAAGGCGCGAAAGCGUGGGGAGCGAACAGG
rnacentral:rRNA from 1 species